GAGAAUGGAAAAACAAUGAGAGGACUGGUCAGUGAGGAUUAGACCAGUUGGCCGUAUGGGGGUCGGCUCCCUGGUGCACAUGUAUGAGAGGGCGAGCCAUGUGUGAGGACGGCUCGUUGGGGUUUCAGGUGGUGCCACUGACUAAUUUCCACGUAAUGUGAUUAUAUGAAGGUGAUACUAAUUGUGGUUGCUGUUGUAUGGCCAUUUGUGUGACACUGCAUAAUCAUAAAUUUAAUCGAUAAACAAAUAAAAAUAUUUUAGCAUCUGUAUGAUUGUGUGGGGUGAGAGGGUUAUCUAACCCUACUCAUUGAGUUUGGUGCUCACCCCUGCCUAUCUAUUUUUUUUUCCAGGUAAUAGAAGAAAGAAAAAUCCUAUGGAGUUGAGACAUAAGUAUAGAAGACUGUAAAUGAUAAAUAAAUGAUGAUGUAAAUGUACAGGUAGAGUUCCGCAAUUGUAUUCUGGUGGGGUGUAGAUGAACUGUACUAGUGGUACAUAAUUGAAAUAAAUUAUUGGGCCUGUAUCCACAAUUAUGAAUAGUAAAUGAGAUUUGCAUAAUGUAGGCUUACUACGGGCUUCGGGGGCCUUAAGCCCACCCAGGUCCUAGUGCCGGUCUGGUCCAUGGAAAUGGGUCGUGACACUAUUCAUGACCACUGUUCUACUUUAUGGUCUUUUCGAUCUGAUUACCUUCAAAUUUCUUCUGGAGAUCUACACUUAUUUCUACAUAUCUAUCCAAAUAAUAAAAUACGUCAGACAAAAUCAUCAUAAUGGUGAUAAUAAUAACUCAAAAUUAGAUGUAAGAAUAAAAUUUCAAUGUAUGGGUGACAAUAAC
rnacentral:lncRNA from 1 species